UGGAUUUUAUCAACCUCAAACCAGAAGAAGUCUGGAACGGCAAACAAAGUUGGGUAUCUGACCUCUCAACUUGGGACAGAUCGAUCAACACCGAUCAUUUGACAUUGCAGACAAGCAUUUAGGAUGAACGACCCGGAUCUGCUAAGAUGCACAGAUUCAACUCUGACCCAGCAUCAUCCCCACAUCUCAUCUGUCAUCAGUUUCGUUUAAUGUUUGUCGAUUGCAAAUGCUAUUUUAUUUUAGUUCAAUAACAACUUAAUAUAAACUUUAAUUGAGACUUUUAUUGUGUAAAACAGGGCUUUUCAUUUCACAACAUAUUAGACAGCUCUGUUGCAGGGCGGUUAAAACACUGAAUGGUAAAUUAAAGUCGCAUUUAAGUCUUG